GACGAACGCUGGCGGCGUGCUUAACACAUGCAAGUCGAACGGUGAAGCGCCUUCCUUUUUGGUGGGUGUGGAUGAGUGGCGAACGGGUGAGUAACACGUGAGUAACCUUCCCCCUUCUUCUGGAUAACCGCAUGCAAGUGUGGCUACUACGGGAUAUUCUGGGUCUGUCGCUUGAUGGGUCUGGGAAAGUUUUUGUUUCGGUGGUGGAUGGGCGCGCGGCCUAUCAGCUUGUUGGUGGGGUGAUGGCCUACCAAGGCGGUGAAGAGUAGCCGGCCUGAGAGGGUGGGCGGCCACACAAGGACUGAGCGACGGCCAAGACUACGACAGGAGGCAGCAGGGAGGAAUAUGGCACAAGGGGCGCAAGGCUGAUGCAGCGACGCCGCGUGAGGGAUGGAGGCCUUCGGGUUGUGAACCUCUUUCGCGAGUGAAGCAGGCCUGCCGCGUUUGUGGGUGGGUUGACGGUAGCUGGAUAAGAAGCGCCGGCUAACUACGUG
rnacentral:rRNA from 1 species